GCCAGCAUGGUGUGGAUAAACAGUCAUUCAUAUAAAUGUUUAGCCUUUCAUAUAAAUGAAAACGACCCCCCCCCCCUUUUCUUUCUGGUUGCCACUAC